CUGGCUCAGGACGAACGCUGGCGGCGUGCCUAAUACAUGCAAGUCGAGCGAACAGAGAAGGAGCUUGCUCCUUCGACGUUAGCGGCGGACGGGUGAGUAACACGUGGGCAACCUACCUUAUAGUUUGGGAUAACUCCGGGAAACCGGGGCUAAUACCGAAUAAUCUGUUUCACCUCAUGGUGAAAUACUGAAAGACGGUUU
rnacentral:rRNA from 1 species